rnacentral:tmRNA from 1 species
CCCCUUUUCAAACGCCCUCAAAGCCCCUAUAUGUGAAGCGUCCCUUCGGGGAAUAUGGUGAUAAACGCGCAUGUAAUAGAUGGAUCGGACCCGGGGGCGGUACCCGGCGACUCCACCAAAUAUCCCUUCAUUUGAGGGAUCAUGGGGUCGAAAUAGGAUCGACGGACGUUCAAAGAUGUUAGCUUUUACUCGGCGGACUGCCACCGUAUCGGCGUAAAAUGUACAAUUGCAAAUGACAAUCGUGC